rnacentral:lncRNA from 1 species
CUUCCCCCCUUAGCCAACAGCAUUCAUCAGACAAAAACCCAAAAAAAAAAAAGAUUUAAUCUUUAGAACCCAGACAGAUUAAGACGAUCAUGGCCACCAGAAAAUCGUCCAUGUCAAUGAUGCUGGUGUUGACCAUGGUGAUAAUCAUGGCGUACACCGUUGACCAAACUGAAGCAAAUGGACGAGCGGAAUGCAUUCGCAUUUGCAUGCCCAGGUGCCUCGAAGUCGAACACGCAACUCCGAAGCAGUGUGUGCGGGCCUGCCGCGAAGUCUGCCGGCAAAUCUCCGGCAAGUCUGGAUCGUCUUGGAGUCAUUGGUGAUCUUGAUCGACAUACGCUGCUGUGGUUUUUAAUAUAAUAUUUAACAAUCUUUCUUUUUCUUUUUUUUUUUCUUUCUAAUUUGGUUUUAACAUCACGUAUGCUGUUGCUGCUGUGUAACAUUAUCUAAUAUAUCAUUGAUUAUAUAUAUAUAUAAUGUAUAUAUAUUUGUAUAUCUAUAAAAAUCAAUGAGAAAUGACUGGGGCAUAUAUAUAUAUAUAUGUAUGUAUAUAGCCUUCAUGGUCAAGCCCUUCGGGACCAAAACCACGAAAUUAUCAAUGAGAAAUAUUAUUAAUAUUAUACAUAAGUGUAUAUAUAGUUUUUCAAAUCGUC